rnacentral:rRNA from 1 species
UUGAACGCUGGCGGCAUGCCUUACACAUGCAAGUCGAACGGCAGCACGGGUGCUUGCACCUGGUGGCGAGUGGCGAACGGGUGAGUAAUACAUCGGAACAUGUCCUGUAGUGGGGGAUAGCCCGGCGAAAGCCGGAUUAAUACCGCAUACGAUCUACGGAUGAAAGCGGGGGACCUUCGGGCCUCGCGCUAUAGGGUUGGCCGAUGGCUGAUUAGCUAGUUGGUGGGGUAAAGGCCUACCAAGGCGACGAUCAGUAGCUGGUCUGAGAGGACGACCAGCCACACUGGGACUGAGACACGGCCCAGACUCCUACGGGAGGCAGCAGUGGGGAAUUUUGGACAAUGGGCGAAAGCCUGAUCCAGCAAUGCCGCGUGUGUGAAGAAGGCCUUCGGGUUGUAAAGCACUUUUGUCCGGAAAGAAAUCCUUGGCUCUAAUACGGUCGGGGGAUGACGGUACCGGAAGAAUAAGCACCGGCUAACUACGUG